rnacentral:rRNA from 1 species
AAUCAACGCUGGCGGCGUGCCUAACGACAUGCAAGUCGAACGCGAAGAUGGAGCAAUCCAUGAGUAGAGUGGCAAACGGGUGAGGUAACACGUGGGUGACCUGCCUUCGAGUGGGGGGAUAACGUCCCGAAAGGGACGCUAAUACCGCAGUAAUAUGCUGUCUUUUAAGAGAGAGACAUCAAAGCCGGGGACCGCAAGGCCUGGCGCUUGAAGAGGGGCCCGCGCCUGAUUAGCUAGUUGGUGGGGUAAUGGCUCGACCAAGGCAACGAUCAGUAUCCGGCCUGAGAGGGCGGACGGACACACUGGGACUGAGACACGGCCCAGACUCCUACGGGAGGCAGCAGUGGGGAA